rnacentral:rRNA from 1 species
GUGGGGAAUAUUGGACAAUGGGCGAAAGCCUGAUCCAGCCAUGCCGCGUGUGUGAAGAAGGUCUUCGGAUUGUAAAGCACUUUAAGUUGGGAGGAAGGGCAGUAAGUUAAUACCUUGCUGUUUUGACGUUACCGACAGAAUAAGCACCGGCUAACUUCGUGCCAGCAGCCGCGGUAAUACGAAGGGUGCAAGCGUUAAUCGGAAUUACUGUGCGUAAAGCGCGCGUAGGUGGGUUUGUAAGUUGGAGGUGAAAUCCCCGGGCUCAACCUGGGAACUGCCUCCAAAACUGCAUGACUAGAGUACGGUAGAGGGUAGUGGAAUUUCCUGUGUAGCGGUGAAAUGCGUAGAUAUAGGAAGGAACACCAGUGGCGAAGGCGACUACCUGGACUGAUACUGACACUGAGGUGCGAAAGCGUGGGGAGCAAACAGGAUUAGAAACCCUGGUAGUCC